rnacentral:rRNA from 1 species
CGCUAGCUACAGGCUUAACACAUGCAAGUCGAGGGGCAGCAUUUUAGUUUGCUUGCAAACUGAAGAUGGCGACCGGCGCACGGGUGAGUAACACGUAUCCAACCUGCCGAUAACUCCGGAAUAGCCUUUCGAAAGAAAGAUUAAUACCGGAUAGCAUACGAAUAUCGCAUGAUAUUUUUAUUAAAGAAUUUCGGUUAUCGAUGGGGAUGCGUUCCAUUAGUUUGUUGGCGGGGUAACGGCCCACCAAGACUACGAUGGAUAGGGGUUCUGAGAGGAAGGUCCCCCACAUUGGAACUGAGACACGGUCCAAACUCCUACGGGAGGCAGCAGUGAGGAAUAUUGGUCAAUGGGCGAGAGCCUGAACCAGCCAAGUAGCGUGAAGGAUGAAGGCUCUAUGGGUCGUAAACUUCUUUUAUAUGGAAAUAAAGUUUUCCACGUGUGGAAUUUUGUAUGUACCAUAUGAAUAAGGAUCGGCUAACUCCGUGCCAGCAGCCGCGGUAAUACGGAGGAUCCGAGCGUUAUCCGGAUUUAUUGGGUUUAAAGGGAGCGUAGGUGGAUUGUUAAGUCAGUUGUGAAAGUUUGCGGCUCAACCGUAAAAUUGCAGUUGAAACUGGCAGUCUUGAGUACAGUAGAGGUGGGCGGAAUUCGUGGUGUAGCGGUGAAAUGCUUAGAUAUCACGAAGAACUCCGAUUGCGAAGGCAGCUCACUAGACUGUCACUGACACUGAUGCUCGAAAGUGUGGGUAUCAAACAGGAUUAGAUACCCUGGUAGUCCACACAGUAAACGAUGAAUACUCGCUGUUUGCGAUAUACAGUAAGCGGCCAAGCGAAAGCAUUAAGUAUUCCACCUGGGGAGUACGCCGGCAACGGUGAAACUCAAAGGAAUUGACGGGGGCCCGCACAAGCGGAGGAACAUGUGGUUUAAUUCGAUGAUACGCGAGGAACCUUACCCGGGCUUAAAUUGCAACAGAAUAUAUUGGAAACAGUAUAGCCGUAAGGCUGUUGUGAAGGUGCUGCAUGGUUGUCGUCAGCUCGUGCCGUGAGGUGUCGGCUUAAGUGCCAUAACGAGCGCAACCCUUAUCUUUAGUUACUAACAGGUCAUGCUGAGGACUCUAGAGAGACUGCCGUCGUAAGAUGUGAGGAAGGUGGGGAUGACGUCAAAUCAGCACGGCCCUUACGUCCGGGGCUACACACGUGUUACAAUGGGGGGUACAGAAGGCGGCUACCUGGUGACAGGAUGCUAAUCCCAAAAACCUCUCUCAGUUCGGAUCGAAGUCUGCAACCCGACUUCGUGAAGCUGGAUUCGCUAGUAAUCGCGCAUCAGCCAUGGCGCGGUGAAUACGUUCCCGGGCCUUGUACACACCGCCCGUCAAGCCAUGAAAGCCGGGGGUACCUGAAGUACGUAACCGCAAGGAGCGUCCUAGGGUAAAACCGGUAAUUG